AAGAGAUCGAGGAAUAAUCAUGGAAAUCGACCAUGAUUGAGGAACGAUUCUAUUAGUUAUUACGAAACAACAUCAAAAGGAGAUAUAACAUUAUAAAUACUAAGGAGAUAUUCCAGCUCAUUCGUCAGAUUCUCAGACAUAAUCGUCGUUUAUACCUUUCCUGAAUCCGAAAUUGACAAGGGUUUAUGUUCAAGCGAUCUGGAGAAACCAUUAGCAGAUAUGUGAACACGGUGUUGAAAGGAGUUAUUAGACUUCAAGGGGAGUUGCUUAAACAACCAGUUGCAGUGGCUACAAGUUCUGUUGAUGAGAGAUGGAAUUGCUUCAAGAACUGCCUAGGGGCAUUAGAUGGAACACAUAUUAGUAUCCAUGUGGCAACCGAAGACAAUC